AGUGAACGCUGGCGGUAGGCCUAACACAUGCAAGUCGAACGGCAGCACAGUAAGAGCUUGCUCUUACGGGUGGCGAGUGGCGGACGGGUGAGGAAUACAUCGGAAUCUACUUUUUCGUGGGGGAUAACGUAGGGAAACUUACGCUAAUACCGCAUACGACCUACGGGAGAAAGCAGGGGAUCUUCGGACCUUGCGCGAUUGAAUUAGACGAUGUCGGAUUAGCUAGUUGGCGGGGUAAAGGCCCACCAAGGCGACGAUACGUAGCUGGUCUGAGAGGAUGAUCAGCCACACUGGAACUGAGACACGGUCCAGACUCCUACGGGAGGCAGCAGUGGGGAAUAUUGGACAAUGGGCGCAAGCCUGAUCCGGCCAUACCGCGUGGGUGAAGAAGGCCUUCGGAUUGUAAAGCCCUUUUGUUAGGAAAGAAAAGCAGCAGAUUAAUACCCCGCUGUUCUGACGGUACCCAAAGAGUAAGCACCGGCUAACUUCGUG
rnacentral:rRNA from 1 species